rnacentral:rRNA from 1 species
UACGGAGGGUGCAAGCGUUAAUCGGAAUUACUGGGCGUAAAGCGCGCGCAGGCGGUUCGUUAAGCAAGAUGUGAAAUCCCCGGGCUCAACCUGGGAACUGCGUUUGAAACUGGCGGACUAGAGUGUGGCAGAGGGGGGUAGAAUUCCACGUGUAGCAGUGAAAUGCGUAGAGAUGUGGAGGAAUACCGAUGGCGAAGGCAGCCCCCUGGGAUAACACUGACGUUCAGGUGCGAAAGCGUGGGUAGCAAACAGG